GUAGCUACGUUCGGAAAGGAUAACCGCUGAAAGCAUCUAAGCGGGAAGCCCACUCCAAGAUAAGGUCUCCCGAGCCGUAAGGUUCCUUAAGACCCCAGGUAGACCACCUGGUUGAUAGGCGGGAUGUGGAAGCGUGGCAACACGUGUAGCUAACCCGUACUAAUCGGUCGUGAGGCUUGACCACAUAU
rnacentral:rRNA from 1 species